AGUAGAGGGCUGAUGUUGCUGAGGCGUGUAAUAUUGGUUUUGUUGAGGAGAUGGGCAUGGAUAUGGUGUUGCUUGCGGGUAUCCGUACUGAUUCCAUGAUGAGGAUGAAAUAUGCCUCCCACUUGACCCUUUCGAGUUCUUCCCUCCCAUUAGCUAAAGAACUCUUCCAAAUUUCAGGACUCAAAACUUCUGUGUCUCUAUCUUAUCAACAGCUCAGGCAAGAAAACCAAGCAAAGGCAGUAGCAUUUCUUGGUCAACUCCAAUCCUGCCAUCUCUAUUUUCUACACCUUUGAUUCCAAGAAACAAGC
rnacentral:misc_RNA from 1 species